AGAUCAGUGGGAAUUUCAACAGCUGCAUUUGCCCUUGCUAUUCUUGAGGGAAGCACAAAACCUGGUGUCUGGUUUCCUGAAGAGCCUGAAGGAAUUGCAGUUGAAGCAAGGGAAGUUCUUCUCCAAAGAGCUUCGCAGGGAACUAUAAACUUCAUAAUCAACAAGGCUCCAUGGAUGGUAGAAACAAAUCCUAAAGAACUCGGAUUUGGAAUUUAUUCAUAAUUUCAGUAUACAGAUUUUACAGAUCAAGCGUUGGGCGUGGAGCCAAAAAAGCAACCUCAACCUGAAGAUUAAAAAGAUUACAUUGUCUUAUACAUUGAAAAUGCAGAUAAAACAAUGAGAUCUCAUUUCAUUGUCUACCUUUCCUUUUCUUUCCCCUAAUUAUCUUCUUUUACAUAGCUGGAGUACAAUUCUAUUAGAGAAGUCUGCUGUAUAACAAUGUUAAGACACAUUUGAUAAUUGUACAUAUUAAGCAGUUCCUUGUUGAUGCA